rnacentral:tRNA from 1 species
CGCGGGGUGGAGCAGCUUGGUAGCUCGUCGGGCUCAUAACCCGAAGGUCGUUGGUUCAAAUCCRGCCCCCGCAACCA